rnacentral:rRNA from 1 species
GGUGGCGAGUGGCGAACGGGUGAGUAACAUAUCGGAACGUGCCCAGUAGUGGGGGAUAGCCCGGCGAAAGCCGGAUUAAUACCGCAUACGACCUAAGGGUGAAAGCGGGGGAUCGCAAGACCUCGCGCUAUUGGAGCGGCCGAUAUCAGAUUAGCUAGUUGGCGGGGUAAAAGCCCACCAAGGCGACGAUCUGUAGCUGGUCUGAGAGGACGACCAGCCACACUGGGACUGAGACACGGCCCAGACUCCUACGGGAGGCAGCAGUGGGGAAUUUUGGACAAUGGGCGCAAGCCUGAUCCAGCCAUGCCGCGUGUGGGAAGAAGGCCUUCGGGUUGUAAACCACUUUUGUCAGGGAAGAAACGGUUGGAUCUAAUACAUUCGACUAAUGACGGUACCUGAAGAAUAAGCACCGGCUAACUACGUGCCAGCAGCCGCGGUAAUACGUAGGGUGCAAGCGUUAAUCGGAAUUACUGGGCGUAAAGCGUGCGCAGGCGGCUUUGCAAGACAGAUGUGAAAUCCCCGGGCUCAACCUGGGAACUGCAUUUGUGACUGCAAGGCUAGAGUACGGUAGAGGGGGAUGGAAUUCCGCGUGUAGCAGUGAAAUGCGUAGAUAUGCGGAGGAACACCGAUGGCGAAGGCAAUCCCCUGACCUGUACUGACGCUCAUGCACGAAAGCGUGGGGAGCAAACAGGAUUAGAUACCCUGGUAGUCCACGCCCUAAACGAUGUCAACUGGUUGUCGGACGGCUUGCUGUUCAGUAACGAAGCUAACGCGUGAAGUUGACCGCCUGGGGAGUACGGCCGCAAGGUCGAAACUCAAAGGAAUUGACGGGGACCCGCACAAGCGGUGGAUGAUGUGGUUUAAUUCGAUGCAACGCGAAAAACCUUACCUACCCUUGACAUGUCAGGAAGUUACCAGAGAUGGUUUCGUGCUCGAAAGAGAACCUGAACACAGGUGCUGCAUGGCCGUCGUCAGCUCGUGUCGUGAGAUGUUGGGUUAAGUCCCGCAACGAGCGCAACCCUUAUCAUUAGUUGCUACGCAAGGGCACUCUAAUGAGACUGCCGGUGACAAACCGGAGGAAGGUGGGGAUGACGUCAGGUCAUCAUGGCCCUUAUGGGUAGGGCUACACACGUCAUACAAUGGCCGGUACAGAGGGCUGCCAACCCGCGAGGGGGAGCUAAUCUCAGAAAACCGGUCGUAGUCCGGAUCGCAGUCUGCAACUCGACUGCGUGAAGUCGGAAUCGCUAGUAAUCGCGGAUCAGCUUGCCGCGGUGAAUACGUUCCCGGGUCUUGUACACACCGCCCGUCACACCAUGGGAGCGGGUUCUGCCAGAAGUAGUUAGCCUAACCGCAAGGAGGGCGAUUACCACGGCAGGGUUCGUGACUGGGGUGAAGUCGUAACAAGGUA